rnacentral:tRNA from 1 species
UCCUCGUUAGUAUAGUGCUGAGUACCCCCGCCUGUCACACAGGAGACCAGGCUUCAAUUCCCUGAUGGGGAG